rnacentral:rRNA from 1 species
AUGCGAGUCAACGCCGCAAGGCGUGGCAUACGGCUCAGUAACACGUAGUCAACAUGCCCAAAGGACGGGGAUAACCUCGGGAAACUGAGGAUAAACCGCGAUAGGCCAAGGUUUCUGGAAUGAGCCAUGGCCGAAACCUAUAUGGCCUUUGGAUUGGACUGCGGCCGAUCAGGCUGUUGGUGAGGUAAUAGCCCACCAAACCUGUAACCGGUACGGGCUUUAAGAGAAGGAGCCCGGAGAUGGGCACUGAGACAAGGGCCCAGGCCCUAUGGGGCGCAGCAGGCGCGAAACCUCUGCAAUAGGCGAAAGCUUGACAGGGUUACUCUGAGUGAUGCCCGCUAAGGGUAUCUUUUGGCACCUCUAAAAAUGGUGCAGAGUAAGGGGUGGGCAAGUCUGGUGUCAGCCGCCGCGGUAAUACCAGCACCCCGAGUUAUCGGGAUGAUUAUUGGGCCUAAAGCAUCCGUAGCCUGUUCUGCAAGUCCUCCGUUAAAUCCACCUGCUUAACGGAUGGGCUGCGGGGGAUACUGCAGAGCUAGGAGGCGGGAGAGGCAAACGGUACUCAGUGGGUAGGGGUAAAAUCCUUUGAUCUACUGAAGACCACCAGUGGCGAAGGCGGUUUGCCAGAACGCGCUCGACGGUGAGGGAUGAAAGCUGGGGGAGCAAACCGGAUUAGAUACCCGGGUAGUCCCAGCUGUAAACGAUGCAGACUCGGUGAUGGGUUGGCCUCGAGCCAACCCAGUGCCGCAGGGAAGCCGUUAAGUCUGCCGCCUGGGGAGUACGGUCGCAAGACUGAAACUUAAAGGAAUUGGCGGGGGAGCACCACAAGGGGUGAAGCCUGCGGUUCAAUUGGA